rnacentral:rRNA from 1 species
UAGUGCCUACGGGGCGCAGCAGUAGGGAAUCUUCCACAAUGGGCGAAAGCCUGAUGGAGCAACGCCGCGUGGGUGAAGAAGUAUUUCGGUACGUAAAGCUCUAUCAGCAGGGAAGAAAAUGACGGUACCUGACUAAGAAGCCCCGGCUAACUACGUGCCAGCAGCCGCGGUAAUACGUAGGGGGCAAGCGUUAUCCGGAUUUACUGGGUGUAAAGGGAGCGUAGACGGCAGCGCAAGUCUGGAGUGAAAUCCCAUGGCUUAACCAUGGAACUGCUUUGGAAAUUGUGCAGCUGGAGUGCAGGAGG